UACGGAGGGUGCGAGCGUUGUUCGGAAUCACUGGGCUUAAAGCGUGUGUAGGCGGAUGCCUAAGUACCUUGUGAAAUCCCACGGCUCACCCGUGGAACCGCUGGGUAUACUGGGCAUCUUGGGCCAUUCAGGGGCAACUGGAACAAGCGGUGGAGCGGUGAAAUGCGUAGAUAUCGCUUGGAACGCCGACGGUGAAAACAGGUUGCUGGGAAUGUGCCGACGCUGAGACACGAAAGCCAGGGGAGCAAACGGG
rnacentral:rRNA from 1 species